AGUGAACGCUGGCGGCAGGCCUAAUACAUGCAAGUCGAGCGGACGCGCGGGGGCCACGCUCGCGGCGCGCGGCGGACGGGCGAGGAAUUAGUCGGUAUCUGCCCUUUCGUGGGGGCUAACGUAGGUUCACUUACCCUAAUACAGCAUCCGUCAUUCGAGUGAACGGCAGGGUCCACAAGUCCUCGCGCAGAUAGCUGUGCCGACGACGGAUUAGCUAGUUGGUGAGGUAACGGCCUACCAAGGCGACGAUCCGUAGCAGAUCUGAGAGGAUGAUCGGCCACACUGGAACUGAGACACGGCCCAGACUCCUACGGGAGGCAGCAGUAGGGAAUAUUGCGCAAUGGGCGAAAGCCUGAUCGAGCAAUGCCGCGUGAGUGAUGAAGGCCUUCGGAUCGUAAAGCACUGUUGUCCGGGAAGAAAACCCGGGAACGAAAACCUUCGGGGGAUGACGGUACCGGAAGAGAAAGCACCGGCUAACUACGUG
rnacentral:rRNA from 1 species